ACCAUGGACGAACGGAACGGAAUAAUGUUUUCAUUUUCCAUCACGUACUAAGGAAUAUGACGAGCAAAAAUGGUCUUUCAAAAAAAUUGAAUAUCCAUCGGUAGUUAAGCGGCCAAAGCAGUUUGUUUACAAACUAGUCGUUCCAGCUCCAUAUUGAAAUUGUAUCUGGAGCUGGCUCCAGAUUCGCCAAUCUGGAGCUGCCAAUAUGGAGCUGUCUGGCUUGUCAUCAAAUUCCGACUUCCGAGCUACAACCUUAAUUGAAAUAGCUGUAUGUGGUCGAAUUGCAAUGUAAAGUGAUAAAGAAAGAAUAAGGGCAAAGAGAAAAACACUCUGCAUUGAUUCUUACAGGCAUGCUUCAGGAAAUAUACUUUCAAAAAUGACAGAACUCUGGCUAGGGCCCC